CCCUUAGAUGUCCUGGGCUGCACGCGCGCUACACUGAUGUGUCCAGUAAGCACCUAACCUCUUCCGAAGGGAACGGGUAACCUUAGCAAAGCACAUCGUGAUGGGGAUAGAUUAUUGCAAUUAUUAGUCUUGAACGAGGAAUUCCUAGUAAGCACAAGUCAUCAGCUUGUGUUGAUUACGUCCCUGCCCUUUGUACACACCGCCCGUCGCUCCUACCGAUUGGGUGUGCUGGUGAAAUGUUCGGAUCGGCCGUUUGUCGCGGUUUCCGCGUCAUGUGGCUGAGAAGUUCAUUAAACCCUCCCACCUAGAGGAAGGAGAAGUCGUAACA
rnacentral:rRNA from 1 species